GAGAGAGAGAGAUUGGAUUAUAUUAUUUUAUUAGGUAGUAUAUAUUAUUUUAAUGAGUUGAAUAGGAAAAUAAAAGUUGGGAUGUUGGGUGUGUUGUAAAAUGGUAUGGUAUAAUUAAUAAAGUAGCUUUUGAGAUGGUAAAAUGGAAUUUUUGAAGAAAUUGGAUGCAAAUGCUCUAAGUCUCUUACAAAACACAACUUUCGUAGAACAGCAUUUACAUACAAUUGAAGUGCAUCUUUGUAGAACAUAGCAACAAUAACUUGUCCUUCCACAUUACAUAUUAUUAGCCCUAGUCCCCCAACAAUUCUCUUAUUUCCUCAAAACUUAAGGGUGUGUUUGGUUGUGGUGAAAACAGAGAGGAUGGAAAAUAGAGAGAAGAAAAUAGGGUGAAAAAUGUUGUUUUCCACUGUUUGGUUAGGAAAAGAAAAUAGGAGAGAUAAAAAACAAGGGAGAAAGUUUUUCCUCUCGAGUCCACUUUUUUUAUCCUCCUAAAUCAGGAGGAAAAUGUGGAGAGAAAAGUGCUGUGAAAGCACUUUUACACAAAUACCCUCUCACCUACCCCUCAUUCAUGACCUGAUGACUUUUGCCUCUUCUCAUCCUUAUACUCCUUAUUAAUCUAUUGUUUCUUGUUGAUUUUUUGGUUUCACAUGACAUUCAAUUUUUUUUUUUUUUUUUCACUUUUGUUUAUCUACCAUGUCCUCAUUAGUUUCCGUUUGUUUUGCCAAGGGGUCUUUUGAUUUCCUCUCCAGUCAAGAUAGGAUAGGGCAAAUGGUGAAGGUUGUAUAAGUGCAAAGGAGAAAGUUCAUCGAUGAGAAAAGGAAAGAGAGGAUAGUGUAAAUUUGGAAGAAAAUACUGAUUGCUUUGAUGAGUUUAGCAUGCCAAAUGUAGAUUCAUAUUCUCCAAUGGUCUCUCCUUCCUACUCAUGUGAGACAUCGUCCAAGAAGGAGAAGAAAACACCUCAAAUGGUUGAAAUGCUUGAAAAGCAAAUGAAAAUUUUGCAAUCCGGAAUUGAUAAUGUGGCAGCAAGUAUAAGGCAAGGAAAUGAGAUUGCUAAGGAGGGACUUGCUAUUAUGAUGCAAGGACAUGAGAUUGUUAAGGAGGGACUUGCUAUCAUGGAGAGAGAACGUCCACGUUGUUACUCUGUGGAUGAAGUAUUUUCUGAAUUAGUGAAAAUAAGAAUACCGACAGAUGUGCAACUUGAUGCUAUGCUCUUCUUAAUUAAGGAUCCAGCCAAAAUGAGAGCAUAUUUUGGUGUUCCAACUAGUGAGUUACGCCGACAAAUUUUAUUGAAGAUGAUGUAUGCUAAGGAACCUUAGUGGUUGGAUAAUUGUUAACUGACUUUUGGUAGUAGCUAAGUUGCAUAAUGCUAAACAAUGCAACUUAACAUUUUGCUAACUUUUGAUUUGCUAACUUUUGUGAGCUGAAUGUAGUAUAUUACAUAAUUAGUAAUAUUUGAUGACUUUGUAUUUCGGUUAAGAUACUAGAAGAUAAUGUAUAUUUUUACUUGCACUGUGCUAUGGAUGAAUGAAAUUAAUAUCAUUUCAUGUUCAA